rnacentral:rRNA from 1 species
UACGUAGGGGGCGAGCGUUGUCCGGAUUCAUUGGGCGUAAAGAGCGUGUAGGCGGCCAGGUAGGUCGGUUGUGAAAACUGAAGGCUCAACCUUCAGACGUCGACCGAAACCAUCUGGCUAGAGUCCGGGAGAGGAGAGUGGAAUUCCUGGUGUAGCGGUGGAAUGCGCAGAUAUCAGGAAGAACACCCGUGGCGAAAGCGGCUCUCUGGAACGGUACUGACGCUGAGACGCGAAAGCGUGGGGAGCGAACAGG